rnacentral:rRNA from 1 species
GUAGGGUGCGAGCGUUGUCCGGAAUUAUUGGGCGUAAAGAGCUCGUAGGCGGUUUGUCGCGUCGACUGUGAAAACCUGGGGCUUAACUCUGGGCCUGCAGUCGAUACGGGCAGACUUGAGUUCGGUAGGGGAGACUGGAAUUCCUGGUGUAGCGGUGAAAUGCGCAGAUAUCAGGAGGAACACCGGUGGCGAAGGCGGGUCUCUGGGCCGAUACUGACGCUGAGGAGCGAAAGCGUGGGGAGCGAACAGGAUUAGAUACCCUGGUAGUCCACGCUGUAAACGUUGGGCGCUAGGUGUGGGGAGCAUUCAUGUUUUCCGUGCCGUAGCUAACGCAUUAAGCGCCCCGCCUGGGGAGUACGGCCGCAAGGCUAAA